rnacentral:rRNA from 1 species
CACGUAGGGGGCAAGCGUUGUCCGGAUUUAUUGGGCGUAAAGAGCUCGUAGGUGGUUCGGUAAGUCGGGUGUUAAACCCCCAGGCUCAACCUGGGGACGCCACUCGAUACUGCUGUGACUAGAGUCCGGUAGGGGAGCGUGGAAUUCCUGGUGUAGCGGGUGAAAUGCGCAGAUAUCAGGAGGAACACCAGCGGCGAAGGCGGCGCCUCUGGGCCGGUACUGACACUGAGGAGCGAAAGCGUGGGUAGCAAACAGGA